UGGGAGUACCCAUGCUGCCUUGCGCAUUCUUUUCGAAUUGCUGGACAGCCUGGGGACCAAGGCAGAAAUCUUUACAUCGAAACGGGGGCCAAUCACAGAGCGAGGAGGCACGAAAGACGAUGACGCGUACUACUCGACAAACGGAAGUUAGUUGCUAGUAGUUUUUUCGCGAAUCCAUCAUGGCGGCAGCCGAAGCGAAGCAAUCUUUCGGAGAAGCUCUGGACAGUGUUUUGAAUAGUUUGGAACGUAAUUUCGCUUUGAAAAACGAACAGCGCUUAGCGUUAGAGUCGUCUGUCAGAGGAAAGGAAGAUGUGUUAGCCUUACUACCGACUGGAUUUGGUAAAAGUCUGAUUUACCAACUCGCUCCGUUGGUUACUAAGGUAAUGGGGGUUAGCGAGACCCCGGUCGUUGCUGUGGUUUCGCCAUUAAUAGCAUUGGUGUAGGACCAAAUAAAGGACGCAGUCGACCUUGGAAUAUCUGCAACACAGCUGGGUCAAGACGAUGAAACGGCGAUUGAGAGAUGAUGCCGUUAUAAGAUUCUGUUUGGCAGUCCCGAGGCCUGGCUGAGCGCGAAGUGGGAGGACAUGCUAGCCACCGAUGUAUACAAGACCAACCUGAUCGGCGUAUACUAGUUGUCGAUGAAGUCCAUCUUACUUAUAUAAAUGGAGGAAGGCUGAGAAAGGACGGAAGGCUUUUAGGGAAAGCUUUGCGAGGUUGGGGAACUGAGAGCCAUCGUGAAACCAGAAACACCGGUACUGGCAUUGACUGUGUCUGCGGAAUUGCACUCAAGAGAAAUUGUCAGGAGACCGCUCCAACUCCAAAACCCAGUUGACAUCAUUGCCAGCCCCAAUCGACCCAACAUCAGACUCUCCAUAAGACGACUUUCGAGUGAGUCACUGGACUGUUUCGACUGGCUCGUGAAGGACUUGACAGAGAAAGGAGUGGAGAUGUCACCAGUCAAUAUAUACUGCCGGACAAUAAACA